GCCGCCCUAGCUCAGUUGGUAGAGCGUGUCCAUGGUAAGGACAAGGUCGCCGGUUCAAUCCCGGCGAGCGGCUCCC
rnacentral:tRNA from 1 species